rnacentral:lncRNA from 1 species
UGAUAGCCCUCAGUUCCUCUGGCAUGGCAUAUCAACCGUAGAUUUCCUAUUUCCGCUAGCCAGUUUGUCCUGUUUAGGGUUGUUUCUGAAGAAUUGCUUUUGUGGUAGUACCAGACGUUAUCGGAAUAGGAGUACGGUUAGGCUAACUGUGCAGUGCAUCUUUCUGCUGCCUCUAUUUCUCUGAGGGGGGAAUAGUGAGAAUUAUCUUUUGCUGACCAUCGCUGUUGAUGAAUGCCUACCUGCUUCAUGAAUUAUGAAUUUCUGGUAUUUCAGUUACUGUUUUAAAAUUUAUUUUUGAAUUUUGAAAUGAAAUUUGAAUUUCCCUCAGAAACGGAGUAGUGCAUUUAAUAAAAAUGUAUUUUUUAUAAUGCAUUUAAUGAAAGGUGAGAGGCUUACUUGUGAAGUUUUAGUUUCUCACCAUUAAUUUUCUGUUUUGACACGUAGCAUGUACUUUUAAACGUAAGGUUGAAUAGUCAACCAAAUGGACGUUCCAACUUCCAAGCCUAGACCAUGGCACCGUAUUGUAAAUAACCGAUAUUCGGGAUGGCAAGGUUUUAAUAUGCCCCUGUCCUUUCGAAUUCUCGUUUCGUCUUCACAAGGAACGAAAGCGGUUGCACUUCCCUGCUAUAAAACCGAAAAACAACCUCUACCCUGAUUCCCUGACCGUUCUUUAUUUUUCCGCUUUUUGGUCUCUCUCUCUCUAUCUCUUGGGUCUCGAGCUCUCCAUCUCAAUCCUCUUUUCUCGUUCCCUCAAGCUUUUCACACCAGUCAUCCAUGGCGGAACAAGCUGAUGUCCACAAUGGAGGUGCUGAGAAGGCUGAGGUGGUGGUCUCCUUCACCGCGAUGAAGCCGCAGCUGUUUGUGGAGGCGCCCAAGGCUAACGACGCUGUGGAGUUCUAUAAGGCUGCUUUCGGUGCUGUGGAGACUGGCCGUACGACUCAAC